rnacentral:rRNA from 1 species
GACGAACGCUGGCGGCGUGCCUAAUACAUGCAAGUUGAGCGCUUAAGGUUGGUACUUGUCCCAACUGGAUGAGCAGCGAACGGGUGAGUAACGCGUGGGGAAUCUGCCUUUGAGCGGGGGACAACAUUUGGAAACGAAUGCUAAUACCGCAUAAAAACUUUAAACACAAGUUUUAAGUUUGAAAGAUGCAAUUGCAUCACUCAGAGAGGAUCCCGCGUUGUAUUAGCUAGUUGGUGAGGUAAAGGCUCACCAAGGCGAUGAUACAUAGCCGACCUGAGAGGGUGAUCCGGCACAAUGGGACCUAGACAAGGGCCAAACCUCCAAGGGGGGCAGCAGUAGGGGAUCUUCGGACAUGGACGAAAGUCUGACCGCGCAAAGCCGGGUGAGUGAAGAAGGUUCUCCGAUCGUAAAACUAUGUUGGUAGAGAAGGACGUUGGUGAGAGUGGAAAGCUCAUGAAGUGACGGUAACUACACAGAAAGGGACGGCUAACUACGUG